UUUAAUAAUUUAAAAUGAAGUACCCGUACAGAACAAGCACCGUUUUUUAAUCCCCUUGAAACUUUCAAAAACAUCCCUGGAGUUCGCUUUUUUGCUUGCCGGUUAUUCUGCUCAUCUCUGCCGAAGCCGCUGUCGCUAGUGGCUGCUGUCCAGUGGGAUGCUGUUGGACCUGCAAAGAGAGAAGAAAAAGAAGGAGAAAGAGGAGGUAGGGGAUAUCGGAGAGGGAGAAAAGAGAAGGAGGAAGCGUUAUAGGAGGGAGAAUCCGCCGGCUGCUGUUCGGCAUGGCCUCACCAGGCUGCUGGCUGUUGCUGAUUGUCGAUAGCUAUCCGUUGGAGCUGCUCACUGCCAGAAAGAGAGAAAGGAGGAACGAGAGGGGGAGGCACUGCUGGAGAGAGGGCUGUGGCGCUUCGGGAGAGGGGAGAAGAAGAGGGAGUCAUCCUAUGGAAG
rnacentral:misc_RNA from 1 species